UCUACAGGCUUAACACAUGCAAGUCGAGGGGCAGCAUGGUCUUAGCUUGCUAAGGCCGAUGGCGACCGGCGCACGGGUGAGUAACACGUAUCCAACCUGCCGUCUACUCUUGGACAGCCUUCUGAAAGGAAGAUUAAUACAAGAUGGCAUCAUGAGUCCGCAUGUUCACAUGAUUAAAGGUAUUCCGGUAGACGAUGGGGAUGCGUUCCAUUAGAUAGUAGGCGGGGUAACGGCCCACCUAGUCUUCGAUGGAUAGGGGUUCUGAGAGGAAGGUCCCCCACAUUGGAACUGAGACACGGUCCAAACUCCUACGGGAGGCAGCAGUGAGGAAUAUUGGUCAAUGGGCGAGAGCCUGAACCAGCCAAGUAGCGUGAAGGAUGACUGCCCUAUGGGUUGUAAACUUCUUUUAUAAAGGAAUAAAGUCGGGUAUGGAUACCCGUUUGCAUGUACUUUAUGAAUAAGGAUCGGCUAACUCCGUGCCAGCAGCCGCGGUAAUACGGAGGAUCCGAGCGUUAUCCGGAUUUAUUGGGUUUAAAGGGAGCGUAGAUGGAUGUUUAAGUCAGUUGUGAAAGUUUGCGGCUCAACCGUAAAAUUGCAGUUGAUACUGGAUAUCUUGAGUGCAGUUGAGGCAGGCGGAAUUCGUGGUGUAGCGGUGAAAUGCUUAGAUAUCACGAAGAACUCCGAUUGCGAAGGCAGCCUGCUAAGCUGCAACUGACAUUGAGGCUCGAAAGUGUGGGUAUCAAACAGGAUUAGAUACCCUGGUAGUCCACACGGUAAACGAUGAAUACUCGCUGUUUGCGAUAUACUGCAAGCGGCCAAGCGAAAGCGUUAAGUAUUCCACCUGGGGAGUACGCCGGCAACGGUGAAACUCAAAGGAAUUGACGGGGGCCCGCACAAGCGGAGGAACAUGUGGUUUAAUUCGAUGAUACGCGAGGAACCUUACCCGGGCUUAAAUUGCAGAUGAAUUACGGUGAAAGCCGUAAGCCGCAAGGCAUCUGUGAAGGUGCUGCAUGGUUGUCGUCAGCUCGUGCCGUGAGGUGUCGGCUUAAGUGCCAUAACGAGCGCAACCCUUGUUGUCAGUUACUAACAGGUUCCGCUGAGGACUCUGACAAGACUGCCAUCGUAAGAUGUGAGGAAGGUGGGGAUGACGUCAAAUCAGCACGGCCCUUACGUCCGGGGCUACACACGUGUUACAAUGGGGGGUACAGAGGGCCGCUACCACGCGAGUGGAUGCCAAUCCCCAAAACCUCUCUCAGUUCGGACUGGAGUCUGCAACCCGACUCCACGAAGCUGGAUUCGCUAGUAAUCGCGCAUCAGCCACGGCGCGGUGAAUACGUUCCCGGGCCUUGUACACACCGCCCGUCAAGCCAUGGGAGCCGGGGGUACCUGAAGUGCGUAACCGCGGGGAGCGCCCUAGGGUAAAACUGGUGACUGG
rnacentral:rRNA from 1 species